rnacentral:rRNA from 1 species
AUUGAACGCUGGCGGCGUGCUUAACACAUGCAAGUCGAUCGGUAACGCGGGGGCAACCCUGGCGACGAGAGGCGGACGGGUGAGGAACGCUUGGGAAUCUGCCUAUCAGCGGGGGACAACACGGGGAAACUCGUGCUAAUACCGCAUACGCUCUACGGAGGAAAGCCGGGGACCGCAAGGCCUGGCACUGAUAGAUGAGCCCAAGUCGGAUUAGCUAGUUGGCGGGGUAACGGCCCACCAAGGCGACGAUCCGUAGCUGGUCUGAGAGGACGAUCAGCCACACUGGGACUGAGACACGGCCCAGACUCCUACGGGAGGCAGCAGUGGGGAAUAUUGGACAAUGGGGGAAACCCUGAUCCAGCGACGCCGCGUGGGUGAAGAAGGCCUGCGGGUUGUAAAGCCCUUUCGGUAGGGACGAAAGCUCUCGACCUAACACGUCGGGAGGUUGACUUAACCUACUAAAGAAGCACCGGCUAACUCUGUGCCAGCAGCCGCAGUAAGAC